rnacentral:rRNA from 1 species
ACGCUGGCGGCGUGCUUAACACAUGCAAGUCGAACGAUGAAGCCUAGCUUGCUAGGUGGAUUAGUGGCGAACGGGUGAGUAAUACGUGAGUAACCUACCUUUAACUCUGGGAUAAGCCUGGGAAACUGGGUCUAAUACCGGAUACGACCAAUCUCCGCAUGGGGUGUUGGUGGAAAGCGUUAUGUAGUGGUUAUAGAUGGGCUCACGGCCUAUCAGCUUGUUGGUGAGGUAACGGCUCACCAAGGCGACGACGGGUAGCCGGCCUGAGAGGGUGACCGGCCACACUGGGACUGAGACACGGCCCAGACUCCUACGGGAGGCAGCAGUGGGGAAUAUUGCACAAUGGGCGCAAGCCUGAUGCAGCGACGCCGCGUGAGGGAUGACGGCCUUCGGGUUGUAAACCUCUGUUAGCAGGGAAGAAGAGAAAUUGACGGUACCUGCAGAGAAAGCGCCGGCUAACUACGUGCCAGCAGCCGCGGUAAUACGUAGGGCGCGAGCGUUGUCCGGAAUUAUUGGGCGUAAAGAGCUUGUAGGCGGUUUGUCGCGUCUGCUGUGAAAGGCCGGGGCUUAACCCCGUGUAUUGCAGUGGGUACGGGCAGACUAGAGUGCAGUAGGGGAGACUGGAAUUCCUGGUGUAGCGGUGGAAUGCGCAGAUAUCAGGAGGAACACCGAUGGCGAAGGCAGGUCUCUGGGCUGUAACUGACGCUGAGAAGCGAAAGCAUGGGGAGCGAACAGGAUUAGAUACCCUAGUAGUCCAUGCCGUAAACGUUGGGCACUAGGUGUGGGGGACAUUCCACGUUUUCCGCGCCGUAGCUAACGCAUUAAGUGCCCCGCCUGGGGAGUACGGCCGCAAGGCUAAAACUCAAAGAAAUUGACGGGGGCCCGCACAAGCGGCGGAGCAUGCGGAUUAAUUCGAUGCAACGCGAA